rnacentral:rRNA from 1 species
GACUCUCGGCAACGGAUAUCUCGGCUCUCGCAUCGAUGAAGAACGCAGCAAAAUGCGAUACUUGGUGUGAAAUUGCAGAAUCCCCGUGAAUCAUCGAGUUUUUGAAACGCAAAGUUGCGCCCCGAAGCCCUUUCGGGCCCGAGGGGCACGCCCUGCCCUGGGGUGU